GAUGAACGCUGGCGGCGUGCCUAAUACAUGCAAGUCGAGCGAACAGACGAGGAGCUUGCUCCUCUGACGUUAGCGGCGGACGGGUGAGUAACACGUGGAUAACCUACCUAUAAGACUGGGAUAACUUCGGGAAACCGGAGCUAAUACCGGAUAAUAUAUUGAACCGCAUGGUUCAAUAGUGAAAGACGGUUUUGCUGUCACUUAUAGCUGGAUCCGCGCCGCAUUAGCUAGUUGGUAAGGUAACGGCUUACCAAGGCAACGAUGCGUAGCCGACCUGAGAGGGUGAUCGGCCACACUGGAACUGAGACACGGUCCAGACUCCUACGGGAGGCAGCAGUGGGGAAUCUUCCGCAAUGGGCGAAAGCCUGACGGAGCAACGCCGCGUGAGUGAUGAAGGUCUUCGGAUCGUAAAACUCUGUUAUUAGGGAAGAACAAAUGUGUAAGUAACUAUGCACGUCUUGACGGUACCUAAUCAGAAAGCCACGGCUAACUACGUG
rnacentral:rRNA from 1 species